CCUACCAAGGCGACGAUCAGUAGCUGGUCUGAGAGGAUGAUCAGCCACACUGGGACUGAGACACGGCCCAGACUCCUACGGGAGGCAGCAGUGGGGAAUAUUGGACAAUGGGCGCAAGCCUGAUCCAGCCAUGCCGCGUGAGUGAUGAAGGCCUUAGGGUUGUAAAGCUCUUUUGUCCGGGACGAUAAUGACGGUACCGGAAGAAUAAGCCCCGGCUAACUUCGUGCCAGCAGCCGCGGUAAUACGAAGGGGGCUAGCGUUGCUCGGAAUCACUGGGCGUAAAGGGCGCGUAGGCGGCCGAUUAAGUCGGGGGUGAAAGCCUGUGGCUCAACCACAGGAUUGCCUUCGAUACUGGUUGGCUUGAGACCGGAAGAGGACAGCGGAACUGCGAGUGUAGAGGUGAAAUUCGUAGAUAUUCGCAAGAACACCAGUGGCGAAGGCGGCUGUCUGGUCCGGUUCUGACGCUGAGGCGCGAAAGCGCGGGGAGCAAACAGGAUUAGAUACCCUGGUAGUCCACGCC
rnacentral:rRNA from 1 species